UACGUAGGGUGCAGGCGUUAAUCGGAAUUACUGGGCGUAAAGCGCGCGUAGGCGGCUUUGCAAGUCGGGUGUGAAAUCCCCAGGCUUAACCUGGGAACUGCAUUCGAGACUGCAUUGCUAGAGUAUGGGAGAGGGAAGUGGAAUUUCCGGCGUAGCGGUGAAAUGCGUAGAUAUCGGAAGGAACAUCAGUGGCGAAAGCGACUUCCUGGACCAAUACUGACGCUCAUGUGCGAAAGCGUGGGGAGCAAACAGG
rnacentral:rRNA from 1 species